GACAGGGGAUGCAAGCGUUACUCGGAAUUACUGGGCGUAAAGCGUCUGCAGGUUCUUUGGUAAGUCUGAUGUCAAAACACGAAGCUCAACUCCGUGUACGUGUCGGAAACUACCGAAGUCGAGUCAUUCAGAGGCAUCUGGAAUGUCGUGUGUAGGGGUAAAAUCCGUAGAUCCACGAUGGAACGCCAAAAGCGAAGGCAGGAUGCUGGGAAUGUACUGACACUCAGAGACGAAAGCGUGGGGAGCAAAGGGG
rnacentral:rRNA from 1 species